AGUGAACGCUGGCGGUAGGCCUAACACAUGCAAGUCGAACGGCAGCACAGUAAGAGCUUGCUCUUACGGGUGGCGAGUGGCGGACGGGUGAGGAAUACAUCGGAAUCUACCUUUUCGUGGGGGAUAACGUAGGGAAACUUACGCUAAUACCGCAUACGACCUACGGGUGAAAGCAGGGGAUCUUCGGACCUUGCGCGAUUGAAUGAGCCGAUGUCGGAUUAGCUAGUUGGCGGGGUAAAGGCCCACCAAGGCGACGAUCCGUAGCUGGUCUGAGAGGAUGAUCAGCCACACUGGAACUGAGACACGGUCCAGACUCCUACGGGAGGCAGCAGUGGGGAAUAUUGGACAAAGGGCGCAAGCCUGAUCCAGCCAUACCGCGUGGGUGAAGAAGGCCUUCGGGUUGUAAAGCCCUUUUGUUGGGAAAGAAAAGCAGCAGGUUAAUACCCCGCUGUUCUGACGGUACCCAAAGAAUAAGCACCGGCUAACUUCGUG
rnacentral:rRNA from 1 species